UUCUCUGUUUUUGUUUUCGACGUUUUCGUCCGGUCUCCGCGACUCGCGCAUUCACGGUCGGUAAGGUGAACGCGGACGUGUACGCGGACGCGAGCGCGGAACGCGAACGCGAGUACACAGUGUGGAAGAAGUGAAAAAAGAAGCCGGUGAAGAGAGGGCAAGAGGCAAAGCAUAGCAAGGAAGAGCUGGCAAGCGAGGAAACGAGAACGAGUGGCGGAGACGAGAGGGAAAGAGGACUACUACUCCUGGGGCCCCCCACCACGCGGGCUGCCGCCGCGACGCCAGUCCGUAGUCAGUCAGCGCUGGACCGCCGCCCGCUCGAUUUCGCGAUCCACGAACGACGGUGCGGCUUAUCUGCGACGUUUCUAACCAGGCGUGCGUUCACCUGCGUUUCCAAACAGUGACAAGUACACCGCAAGUUGCGAAAUCGUGAAUUCACGAUCACGCCAGUGAUGGAUACAAGAGCAUAGUAAUCGCAGUUGAUGGAUCGUGACUCGCCCGAUAUCGCGUAUCUGGAGACUCUUGCCAGGAGAUCAAGUGCGAUCAAGUGCGCGACAUUCCGUGAAUGUAACUCCGAUCGAGACGAAACUGAAGAAUAUUAGUCAUCGUCGUCGUAUACGAUAUAGCCAGUAUAAUAGCUGCCUGAUAGUUGUUCGUGGUUUGUACCGAGUAGUGUACCAAGGGCACCCGACGUUGGUGCUGUUCGUCGUAA